rnacentral:rRNA from 1 species
GAUGAACGCUGGCGGCGUGCCUAAUACAUGCAAGUCGAGCGAAUGGAUUAAGAGCUUGCUCUUAUGAAGUUAGCGGCGGACGGGUGAGUAACACGUGGGUAACCUGCCCAUAAGACUGGGAUAACUCCGGGAAACCGGGGCUAAUACCGGAUAACAUUUUGAACCGCAUGGUUCGAAAUUGAAAGGCGGCUUCGGCUGUCACUUGUGGAUGGACCCGCGUCGAAUUAGCUAGUUGGUGAGGUAACGGCUCACCAAGGCAACGAUGCGUAGCCGCCCUGAGAGGGUGAGCGGCCACACUGGGACUGAGACACGGCCCAGACUCCUACGGGAGGCAGCAGUAGGGAAUCUUCCGCAAUGGACGAAAGUCUGACGGAGCAACGCCGCGUGAGUGAUGAAGGCUUUCGGGUCGUAAAACUCUGUUGUUAGGGAAGAACAAGUGCUAGUUGAAUAAGCUGACACCUUGACGGUACCUAACCAGAAAGCCACGGCUAACUACGUGCCAGCCGCCGCAGUAA